rnacentral:rRNA from 1 species
CCUACGGGAGGCAGCAGUGAGGAAUAUUGGUCAAUGGCCGUAAGGCUGAACCAGCCAAGUCGCGUGAAGGAAGAAGGAUCUAUGGUUUGUAAACUUCUUUUAUAGGGGAAUAAAGGUAUCCACGUGUGGAUAUUUGCAUGUACCCUAUGAAUAAGCAUCGGCUAACUCCGUGCCAGCAGCCGCGGUAAUACGGAGGAUGCGAGCGUUAUCCGGAUUUAUUGGGUUUAAAGGGUGCGUAGGUUGUUUUUUAAGUCAGCGGUGAAAGUUUGUGGCUCAACCAUAAAAUUGCCGUUGAAACUGGAAGACGUGAGUGUGUUUGAGGUAGGCGGAAUGCGUGGUGUAGCGGUGAAAUGCAUAGAUAUCACGCAGAACUCCGAUUGCGAAGGCAGCUUACUAAGCCAUAACUGAUACUGAAGCACGAAAGCGUGGGGAUCAAACAGGAUUAGAUACCCCAGUAGUC